UGGCCCCCGCCGCCGUAAUACGGAGGGGGGAAGCGUUAAUCGGAAUUACUGGGCGUAAGGCGCGCGUAGGUGGAAUGUUAAGUCUCAUGUGAAAGCCCUGGGCUCAACCUGGGAACUGCAUGGGAUACUGGCAUUCUAGAAUACAGUAGAGGGAGGUGGAAUUUCAGGUGUAGCGGUGAAAUGCGUAGAGAUCUGAAGGAACAUCAGUGGCGAAGGCGACCUCCUGGACUGAUAUUGACGCUGAGGUGCGAAAGCGUGGGGAGCAAACAGGAUUAGAUA
rnacentral:rRNA from 1 species